UCCUGGCUCAGGAUGAACGCUAGCGGCGGGCCUAAUACAUGCAAGUUGAACGAGAUUGUUGGUAGCAAUACUGACAUGAAAGUGGCGCACGGGUGCGUAACACGUAUGUAACCUACCUUUAACUGGGGCAUAGCCUCGAGAAAUCGAAAUUAAUACCCCAUAACAUUUAGAAAAGGCAUCUUUUCUUUAUCAAAGUUCCGGCGGUUAAAGAUGGACAUGCGGUGCAUUAGCUUGUUGGUGAGGUAACGGCUCACAAGGCUACGAUGCAUAGGGGGUCUGAGAGGAUGAUCCCCCACACUGGUACUGAGACACGGACCAGACUCCUACAGGAGGCAGCAGUAGGGAAUAUUGGGCAAUGGACGAAAGUCUGACCCAGCCACGCCGCGUGAAGGAUGACUGCCCUAUGGGUUGUAAACUUCUUUUGUAUGGGAAGAAAAUUCCGAACGUGUUCGGAGCUGACGGUACCAUAAGAAUAAGCAUCGGCUAACUCCGUG
rnacentral:rRNA from 1 species